AAGAGACUAGUAAAAAAAAUUACAUUAGCUUGUCAAGCUAAAGUCACUCUAGUGUUUCUUA
rnacentral:tRNA from 1 species